rnacentral:rRNA from 1 species
AUUGAACGCUGGCGGCAUGCUUUACACAUGCAGGUCGAACGGCAGCGGGGGCUUCGGCCUGCCGGCGAGUGGCGAACGGGUGAGUAAUGCAUCGGAACGUGCCCAUGUCGUGGGGGAUAACUACGCGAAAGCGUGGCUAAUACCGCAUACGCCCUGAGGGGGAAAGCGGGGGAUCUUUCGGGACCUCGCGCGAUUGGAGCGGCCGAUGUCGGAUUAGCUAGUUGGUGGGGUAAAGGCUCACCAAGGCGACGAUCCGUAGCUGGUCUGAGAGGAUGAUCAGCCACACUGGGACUGAGACACGGCCCAGACUCCUACGGGAGGCAGCAGUGGGGAAUUUUGGACAAUGGGGGCAACCCUGAUCCAGCCAUGCCGCGUGGGUGAAGAAGGCCUUCGGGUUGUAAAGCUCUUUCGGCCGGGAAGAAAUCGCACGGGCUAAUACCCUGUGUGGAUGACGGUACCGGAAUAAGAAGCACCGGCUAACUACGUGCCAGCCGCCGCAGUAAGAC